CCUAACGCCGCCAGGGGGCGCCCCGCCCCGCUCGGCGGAAAAGAGGCCGGAGCGGGAGGUUCAAACGCAGCGGCCGGCUGAGAAACAUGAAAGGAUGCAGGAAGUCCUGAAUGACCGCAAUGAAUACCUGUGAUCAUUAAGUCACUGCCUGAGUACUGGGAGAGAGCAAGGUAAGCAGUCAGGCAAUGCCAGCAGCACUUCAUGUAAUCUGCAUGAUUGUGUUUCAACCAAGUCUUACUGCUUUCAGAUAUCAAAUUCAUAGCGAGUUGGGCAAAGGCAAAUAGCCUGCAGGUUUGAAUGCAAGAUUUGCUUUUAGUUCAAAGCCUUGAAAAGCAGAAAAUCUACUUCCCUUUCCAGGGCAAAAAACAAGUUCUGUGUUGUGAUUUUUCUUUCUUUCUUUUCUGUCCCCCUAAAUUAUUAUUUUCUUUUUAAAGGCGACCGCUCUGAUUUCAGCAAUCGAUUCAUGACCAAAUCUCAGCUUCCUGGGCUGACUCAAGGGAGGGCUUGGAGGAGGGGUGGAAUGCUUCACGAACUUAGCUGAUGAAAAGGCAUGCUGUUUUGUGGAUGCCUCCCAGAAUUGUUUAAAUCUGUGUGCGCACGCGUGUGUAUGAAAAAGGAGAGAGAGAUCUCCAUGACAACUGGCCUGGCCAGUCUGUGUUCUUUGCAAUCAUUUUAGCUGGAAUCAGUGCUGCGAAAGGUCAUAUGAAGGAGUUCUGGGAAGCACAGCAGGUAUUAGGCGUUAAGUGACCGGUUUUGCUGAUUGCUUCACAUAAUAAGGCAGAGUUUUGUCUGGGAAAUACAAAUCUGAGAAUGGAGUGGAAAGGGAAGUGCUCCAAAUUUCAGGUAACAAAAACUGCUUUUUUUUAAUGUUACUUCCUUCAAUUUUAAAGUGCUUUUUUUCCCCCCUCUGCGGUGUUUACUCCCAGCCGAGUGUCUGUGCUAGCUUGGAUUCCCUAACUCUGGGGAAUGAUGUCAUGCAGCAACAGUUGGAUUCUAUUAGCCAGGAAAAGAGGAAACAUCCUGCAUUUUUUGGGAGGGGAAAAAAAGCAGCAGCUUUGGCUCUUUGUUGAAUCUUAUGCAAAGGCUGCAAGAAGUGUUCAAGGAAAACUUUCUAAUAAAUUAAUUCCCAUUAAACAUUAUCAGGACCUAGAAAACACCAAUAUUAAAAAACAUUGCAACAAGUUACAGCUGUAUGCAAGAAAGUAAUUACAGAAAUGUUACAGAAUUCAGCAUACUUUUUUUUUUUCUUGGAUGAUGCUAUAUUCUUCUUUAAUGAGAAAAUUAAUUGUAUCUUAAUUGAGAAGAGGAUUUAGGAUCUCUGCACUCUUGGGAUCCCCUAGCAAUUGUUUGAAGAAUGUGCUGCUUCUGGUUUGGGCUCUGUCUCAAUCUGCUGCUUCUGAAUAGAUGAUGCUGGCAGCAUUGUUCUUAAUAAGGUUUUCAGUCCUGGGUUGUGUUUUUCAUGGUUUUCAACUAGUCCUUUUGGGAGCGGCUGGGAGGGAAAUAAAGUAGAAAACAUUAAUUAAAAUGCAACACUUGAAAGAAGUUUUUUUUUCCCCCUUUCCUCAGAGCUGUUUGUUAAAUGCUGUAGUCCUUGGUAAAUAUUAGAGCGGCAUGCAUAGUGUUUUAAGUGGAAAAAUAACAACUAAUAUAUGUGCCAUUGCUAUGCCCUAAUGAAGACUUAGAAAAUCAAUAAAGUUCUACUUUCUUGAUCAUCACCAAAAACACACCAAUAACCAAUAUGUACCAAUAACAGUGAAGAGAUUAGGUUGCUCCUACGUUAUUAAAACUCUCCUCUAGGAGAUGCUUAGUUCUACUUUUCUGUUGCUUUGCUCCCUUCUGUGCACUUCAGAUGUGAUCCAAAGUGUGCUGGAGUCCAUGGGAGUUUUCCCAUCAACUUCAAAGGGCUUCAGAUCAGCCUCUGCUUGAGAACUUCUCUGCCUCUGUUUCAGCCUUUUGACUGUAGGACCAAGCCACAGACUGUUUUCUUUCCUGAACUUUCCAAACAGAGAGUCUUUUGUAUUCCACCAAACAAUGCCAGACACUGCUGACUGGCUUCCGUGUGGCUGCUAACAUGCACUGGAGAUAAUGAUGAUGCCUAUUUCUGCUUUCUGCUGCCAUCCUUCUAGAGGGGGAAAAGUGCAAUGAAUGAACACCUAUUCCACCUCUCCUCUCCCCUUCACACAGAGCCAUUAUUUGUGAGAGUGAGUGCAAAGAGCUCCUUCAUUAAGGAGUGAUCCUACCUUAGGUAUCAGCCGUGCUUCAAGGAGGAUUUCUGGGAAGACAUUCAUGGGAAAACACUGCUAUUACAGUGCUUAUGUUUUGUAAAUGAACAUUUUGAAACACCUGAGAGACCUCUGCCUGGUGUUGCUCACUGGGCAUCCCAAGGGCAACGGCUGCUUUUUUGGAGUCUAUUUUUUCUGUUGUAUGAUGCAAUGGGAAGCUUUUGUUUUCCCAUAAUGGCACAUUUCCCAUAAUGGCCUGGGUUGCAGUAUUUACCUAUUACUUGGUGUUUUUUACAAGGCAUCAUUUUCAAGGUACUUUAAUAUAACUUUCAUACGUCUUGAAUGGUUCCAAAUGAAAUUUGCAUAUAUUAGAGUUGUAUCUCGAAGAGAGAUGUUUUACCCUGUUGCCUUGACAUAGAGCUCCUUGCUGGUCCCAAGCACCCACUGCAUUGCUGUCAGUGGCUCCAUGCCCGCUCUGUCUCUGGAUAGGCAGUGGCCCAGGGUUGGUGUGUAAUGUUUUGUAAGAUCAGCUGUGUCUUGUCACUUCUACCCUUAGCUGGAGAGUAGGAGGAUGUGGCAGAAGUGUCUUCUUUCCCCCUCUCCUUGAUUAUCAAUCUAGUAAUUUUUAUAUUGAGUUAUAUGCUUUAACUGAGUGUUCUUAUCUUGCAUAAGAUCAUCCUUUGUGUAACUGCUGGUGCUCCCUCUACCCAUAGGCUGACAGCAGACAUUUGCCUGUUAUCAGUCACAAUGGGCUCCAGGUGAAUUGCUGUGUUGACGUUUGUCUUUGUCAGCUGGAAACAAACUGAUUCCUGAAUGAGGUAAAAACUAUCUAGAAGCCUAGGGCUGACUUCGUUUAUAUCAUUCAAUGCCUCUUUUUGCUCUACUUACCUUCUCUAAGUAACUCAAGUCUUUUCACUUUCUUGUCCUAGGGGAAGUCUAAGACACUGAGAAAAACAGGUAAUUGUCUCUGUUUCUGCUGUUUUCUUUGAAGGUUUGGUGAACUUCAGAAAGCCUGGUGUUACAUUUGUGGACAAAUGUACCAGUACGUUCUUGAAUGCAAGAUCAGUAUUCCCUGUAACCUCGUGCUUACAAUAGAUAGAAUUCACUGAUUGAGAGCAACAGGGCUGCAUAUUUAGAAGAGCUUUUCAUGAGGAUGUUCCAAUCUUUCCUUCAUUUUCUGCAAGCUACUUUCAGUUCCCCCAGUGAGAACAACAGUUCUCACUGUUGUUUCUUCUCAUCUGCUGUCUCCAGGUCAUGAUGACACAGAGACUUCAUAAGGCAUAAAAUGUGAAAUGCAAAAUGAUUUGUUCUGAGCAGCACACGCUGGAUGUAAGUGUGAUACCUUUAGUUGCAGCAAGAACCUUGAAAUGAAUGCACUGUCAUUCUGCAGCGCAGGGGCUCAUUAGGGCUAAUCACUGAUCUCUGUUCUGCCUUUGCAUCUUUGACCUGGUUGCUUUGCUGAACUUAACACAGUUGCUAAUGUGACACAAAGCAGACCCUUGGCAUAGCCCUGAUCACAGAGCAGGGAGAGAUCUGGCAACUUUCACACAAAUCCUUUAUAAUUAAGGCUUCCGGUCUGGGAUUUAAACUUCUUUCUCUUAAAAGCCUGAGAGGCACUUCUUUUUUAUUUUUCAGGCUGAAAGUUAACCUUCUGCUGGUGGAGGCAAAGUCCCCUGAUGGUACUUGCUGCCAGCACGCCUGGGAAAGGCAGGUGCUCUUUUUGUUCCUGCAGCAGGAUUUGCAAGCAUGCUUCCCAGUUUUUCCUCAGUUUCACGUGACAACAACAGAGUCUACUAAGCAACUAGUGGAGUGUUGCACAGAUGGCUGUCCUCCAGUGGCAGCUCUCAUUCUGAGUUCAGUGUCCGUAGCAUUAAUCCUCUCUGCCCGCUGGGAGACGAACUGUCAUACAAAAGGGCUGUUCAAAGGAGUCCCAUUUCUCCAUUCAGUCAGAGAUAGAGUUCCCCUCUUGAAGAGUUUUGUUUUGUUUUUGUCUUCCCUCCAUCCUGUUGUAGUUUGACAAGAAGAUGAAUCAGAGGCGAAAACUUCUGCCAAUGGCAAGAGCACAAUUUGGCAUCCCUUGUUCAGCUGGCAUCCAAAGGAUACAAGCCAUCAAAUUAUCCUGUGCUCCUGGUCCAGCUGAGCCUGUUAGCAUAUGGCCAGGACAUCCCUCCCUGCCUUGAAACAAGCUUGAAAGCUGAAAGAUAUCACUAAACAUUUACCACAGUAGGGACAUGCUUGGGGACAGUUGGACGAUUGUGACAGUAAAAAAUGUGCUCCUUACAACGUGCUUCCAUGCCUCCUUAGUGGAGAGCACAAAGCAGUUUGAAAGUUGCAGCAGUAUGGAAACAUUUGCAGUUGCACAAUUCAUGUUCGCAUGUUUCAGUCUCACAUAGGCCCAUGCAGACCAUCUAUUAUUAGUUUUAGAAGGAGAAUAGCUGACUGCUGAUUAAUUUGAAUAGGGUAUUCCAGAGAGAGCCAUUUUAUGGAUGAGUUAUCAAGAGUGGCAAGCCAAGAAAACUGACUAAAGUUACACAGAAAAUCUCUGAUGUAGAAAGCAAUCAUGUUUAUCCAAAAGAUUUGCAGACACAAAAACAUCUUCGUAUGGCCCUGCUUUCAACAUGUCCAAACCUGUGCUGGGUUAGGUGAAAAGCUGCAUAGCUCAGCUUCUUGCACUCUUCGCCUAGCGUUUCCUGAGGAGCUCCCUAGGGAUGUUGUCAUUGCAAAGGGGACCUAUCAUCACAGUUUGGCCUUCAGAAGCUUGCCUCCAAGUAUUUCCAGGUGACUUGUUCUAGUGCUUGCUUUUGGAAAAAGUCUCGUUGGCUUCAGAGGGAAGAGUGAAAAAGUAUUUUUGGAUGCUGAAUAUGCCUUGCUUAAUCAGCUGAUUAUCUGGAUCAGAAAUACUCUUUGUGCAUCAGAUUGGAUUUCACCAUUGCACUGACCCUCCUGUGCUCUCGCUUGGGGCAGCAGAUUGGCUUUUGGGAAUGUAUGAAGUCCAAAGGGCAAACACUGUUUUUUUCAGUGCAGCUCUUUUAUUAGUAACACCACAUUACAGUAGGUUGCAAGAGGAGCAGUAUCACCCCCAGACAUGCACAAGCAGCUGUCUGGCCAACCCUUUAAUUUCCCGUGGAAAGCACUGUCCCUGUAAUGCUGCUUGUAAGCAAGACACUGCUCCCCAGCAUGGGAAGCACAGCUCCUGCUAGAGGCUCUUUCCCUGACCUGAGGGAAAACCCACCACCCUGCUUGGGCAGGGAAGGAGAGUCACUCCUGUCCCUGGAUCUGCUGGAGGGGAUCUGCACAGAUCUUCCCUCUCCAACAGCAAUGUGCCUCUGAUAUGACACUGUGCUGGGACUGUUCUAUCUGCCUCUGCUCGUGCUGCUCUGUGGGAUGGGAGUUGCAAAAGGUGAGAAGGUUGAACUGUCCCCCAAGUUGCUGUGGGCUGGGAGGAGACUGCAUGUUUUUCAGGGCAGAGAGCUUGUGUCUGUGGGGUGAUCAGAUGAUGCCCUGGGCAGAAAUGCUUCUCCUGUGAGCUAGGCCAGAGCUGUCAGGGCACGGAGGUGCUCCUGAAAUGGCCAUGCAACUGAUGUCCUUACAGACCCUGUCACCGUGUACUGACUCUGCCCUUCUCCUGAUCACUUUGCUCCUUGAGAUCAUGGAGAUGUUUGAAAGGGUAACACCGAUGGUGGGGCCUUUUCUCUUUCUAGCCAGCAGUUGAGUCCAGGUUCCUCUUACAACUGAACUCCCCCUGUAAAAGAGAUUUGUUGCAUGCAAAGGCUGUUUGGAGGCAGAUGCUGAAAUCUAAUGUGAUUAAAAUUGCUCUCUCUAAGCCUAUAUGCUUGGAGCUGUGUGUUGUGAGGGGGUUGCUCUACCAGCUGGUUGUGCACGGGACCCCGUCAGCAAGUUAUAAUCUCUUCUGUGCCAGAUGCAGUGAAUAGGGUAAUACACUGUCAAAUUUGGCGUUUGUAUUAAGAUCUGCUUUUCUCUGCUAUGGAGACAUUAUCCAGUUUUCUGCUUAGAUGCAUCAAGAGCCAGGGUCCCUGCUGUGUUUUAUUUAGUAUUGGCUGACAUGCAUGGACAGUAGAAAACAAAUGUAAACACAAAUCAGUGCUGUGCGGUACAAAAGCACAGCACAUUUUUCUGGGGAUCUGUGAGCAUCUGGGAAGAACGGAGGGCCUGGGGGGGCAGCCUGAGGUUGCCAUCUGCAGCACCUUGUUGGCAGAGCCCAGAACAGUUCUUGUGCAGCUGAUAGCUCUGCUAGUGUGUGUGUGUAUGUAUCUAUUCUACAAAUAAGGCCAGAUCUUCAGGCAGAGGAAGAUGAGGCCAGUAGAGCUAUGCUGAAGGCUUCCAUAAUUUUUCUGGCAAAUCCAUGCAGCUUGUGUACAGAAUAUGGCAGAUGGGUUGCAAAGUGGCCAUUUAUCUGGAGAAUUCAGGUGGUGUUUGUUGUCCUGGCCAAGCUGUGUGAUGUCCUGAGAUCCAGGACAAAAGGACAGAUUCCUUUUUCUUCAUCUGAUGAAAUUUUUUAUGGUUCCUCACUGCAAGAAAGGCAUCGAGGCCCUGGAAUGUGCUCAGAGAAGGGCAAUGAAGCUGUGAGGGGUCUGGAGCACAAGUCUUAUGAGGAGCAGCUGAGGGAACUGGGAUUGUUUAGUCUGGAGAAGAGGAAGCUCAGGGGAGACCUUAUCUUUCUCUACAAAUGCCUGAAAGGAGGUUGUGGUGCAGUGGUAGUUGGCCUCUUCUCCCAUGUAACUAGCAGUAGGAUGAGUGGGAAUGGCCUCAAGUUGUGCCUGGGGAGAUUCAGAUUGGAUGUUAGGAAGUACUUCUCCUAGAGAGUGGUUAGACACUGGAUGGGCUGUCCAGGGAGGUGUUGGAGUCGCUGUUCUUGGAGACGUUCAAGAAACAUUUAGAUGAUGUACUGAGGGAUGUGGUUUAGUGGGAAAUAUUGGUUGAUAGUACUAGAUGAUCUUGGAGGUCUUCUUCGACCUUGGUGAUUCUGUAAUUCUUUGAUUUCCACACUUUCUUACAAUCUGAUUUAAAAGCAGGAAAGCCAAUCAUACCAUUGCAGACAGGAAAUUCUGUAAAAUAUAUAUAUUUUUGGAAGCACAGACACAUGGUGUUCCCAAAAUGAAGUGGUUCAGGACUGUUGCAGUGGCUGGAUGAAACUUAGAGCCUGCUUGACUGUUUAACUCCUGCUCACCAGAGAACAGGAGUGGCAAAUCCAUCAGCUUGGACAGAUUGCCCUAGUGACAGUGGCUCACCAAUGUCUUCCACAUUAGUUAUGUUUCUGUAGCAGCCUCAGGUCUGACAAAUAUGAUUGAGCUGGAUUGAGCUGUCUUUUAUCAGCACAUCCUCUAGCAAAUCCCUUACUGGCCCUAGUCAGGAAAGCGUAUGGAUAAGAAGAGAAAAUUACUGUUCCUGAUCUUUGUUAUUGACUGGUUCUGUUCUUUGUGUAUGAACCAGCCAGAUGGGACUAGUUGCAUUCCUCUGUAAUUUGCAGUACAUGCAGUGUGUGACUGAGCCAGCGAUGAACAAAUACCUUUCAUCAUUUGUUAAGAAGUUUUAUUCAUUGUUUUAGAAACCAAGGAAAUGCCAAAGGUCAGACUGAACCCUUGGGGAAAAUGAGUGGAAGCCUUGGUUUCUGAUGACAACAGGGACACCUUUGGAUCCAACUGACUUUUUGCAGAGGAGGUGUGGAGAUUUGCAUAGGUAUAUUGGCCAGGGUUGAGACUUGUUGUGUUGCUGGUUGGUUUUUGCUUGCUUUCUAAGGGUGAGCGCAGGAGCAUUUUAUUUAUGUUUAUCUUAUAAUCUCAUUUCCCCCUUCCAAAUUCCUCUCUGAAUGCUAUGAGAUGAAGCAGUAUGCAACUGUUUGUAUGUGAUAGGCCAAAUCGCCUAAAAUAUAAAAAGAAUAAAAUGGUAGACAUUCAAAAAUCUUUUCGUCACCAAUCUUGAAAUCUAGAAUGGUUUUCAAUAUAAACACUGGAUAUCCUUCAGCAGGGAAGAUGAAAGGAAGAUAUUAAUUGAAUGAAUUAGAUAAUCUGAUAUAAAUAAAAAAAAUAAGAAGGGCCUCAGAGGUUUGGGAAGUAUAACAUAAUUACCCUUUCCUGAAUUGAAUCGGAUCUGUUCAUAAGCAUUCAGCCCAUCUAUACGUGGAAUCGCAAACAGGGUACAGCUUUGCUAAUAUUGGCAGGUAAAGGCUAAUUUUUGCCUUAAAACUUUCCUAUUGAUACACUUUUGAAGUACAUGUUUUAUUAAAUGUUAAUUUUUUCUACUUAAGCAUGGUAAGGACCGUGUAUUUGUAGUUUCAUGACUUGACACAUAACUUUAAGAAUUUAACUUGCUACUAGAUUAGGAUCAAUUCUAGAAUGAUUUGGAUUGGAAGGGACUUUAAACACCAUUCAGUUCCAACUCUCCUGCCAUGGAGUGGGACAUCUCCCACUAGAUCAGAUUGCCUGAAGCCCCGUCCAACCUGACCUUGAACAUUUUUGGGAAUGGAACAUCCACACCUUCUCUGGCAGCCUGCUCCAGUGCCUCACCACUCUCAUAAUGAAUAAUUUCUUCCUUAUGUCCAACUUAAACCUACCCUUUUGUAAAUUGAAAACUGUUCCCCUUUGUCCUACUGCUACACACCCCAAUAAAGAGUCCCUUACCUAUAGGCCUCUUUUAAUUACUGUAAGGCUGCUACGAGGUCUCUGUGGAGCAUGCUCUUCCCUAGGCUCAACAGCCCCAACUUUCUCAGCUUUUCUUCAUAGAGGAGAUUCUCCUGACAAUAGAUCUUUGAUGCAUGCAAAGCAGCAGGUCAAGUGUCAGAAAGCUGUGUCUCCGAUGAGGUGACUAUACAGACUUCUUUUUCUUCCUCUCUCAGUAGAAAAGAAGGUGGAUAUAUAUCCAAGGGGCUGUGCAGUAUAGUGCAUUCAGUUCUGUUCUGUAUGGGAAAGCUGUUAAUGGAUGGGAAAGAAAUUGCCCCCGUUUCCAGCUGUGGGAAAUACGUGAAGACAGAUGAUCUGGAGGGAAAUUGCUGUGUGUGGCUGUGAUAAGAUGAGGAAAGGAAAGACUCGCCUUUAAAAAGAAUUGAAUAGUUAGAUCUCACUCAACUGAUGAUUCAUAGAAAUGAAUUUUGGCUGUCUUUUGACAGAAGCUUUUGAAGAAGCAAUAGGAAAUAUGUGGGUGAAAAUGCACCAAAGUUCUUCUGGCACACUGCCUUCUGCAAUAGAAAGUAAAGCUCUUUCUGAUGGCACUAUAGUUGCUGUGCUCUUUAGUUAACAUAAAAGUAUUAAAAAAAUAAAUAUAUAUAAACUUAGACACAAAUAAAGCAGGGCAGAAUUUAAAAGAAGGAUACUUUGCAGCAAUUAUGGUCACAACAGAGUUCAUUUUAAAUUGUCAUUCAUCCUGUAAAACAGUUGUCUAGUGUCAACCAGGUAGAUCUGCACAAUUUGAAGGGAUCUAGACUGAUUUACUGUAUGUAUCCCUGGAUGACCAAGUCAGUAAAACAUGCUACGUGUUUUUACACACAGAUGUGGCUGUGGUGGAUUUACACUGGACAAAACUCAUGCUUUUAAGUCAUUAAUGGAAAGCUUUUAUUAGCACUUGAAAGUUUGGCUAUAGUUAGCAUGUAUAGUUAGUAAAUUAAUCAUUUUCACUGUAGACAAAUACCGUACCUUAUGUCUGUUGUCAUUUCCUUUGACUUCAUUUAAUGGUUUAUGUCACCUCCACUCCAGUCUCUGCUUUGAAGUAUAUGCUGAUCAAGUGAUGGAGUUCUAGUGCAAUGCGUAGUGAAUUAGGUGAGUAAAAUUAAUGUUUAAAUGUCAAAUCACAGGUUGAACUUCAUGGGUUGAAGCUGUUACCAAGCUGGUUGAUUUUAGAGGUUUUGUGCCUCUUUCACCCCUCCUCCCCCAUUCUUUAAUGCAACAUUUGUGUUAGUUCAGUGAUUUUGUUGUAGUUUCUUAAAUUGCUUUAAGUUUGCAGUGUCCUGGCAUCAUAUGCUUCUUCCAAUCCUGCUGAAUGCACAGACAUAUUGAUUAAGGUAUUGUCAGCUCUCUUGCAAUUUUUGGUGUUUUCUUUUUGCUAGAGAAAUGUUUGAAGUCACCGUGUAGAAAAAUGGAGAGAAAUACUGCAAAAAGCAGUGAACCUGUAGGUUGAAACUAUCAUACCGACCAAUGCAGUUGGAUGCUGAUUUCUCUUGAAGUUGGACGUCGGAGUGGUCCUGGCAGAGGGUCUCAGGACAGCUCUGAAAAUUUCUUUUGUGUAAGUGAUCCGGUAUCUUUGUGGCACAUCUCAGCUGCAGAACGUGAUGGGGAGACAGCACUGGUUAUUUAUUCUGGGUUUUGAAGUUGUCAGGGAGCAUUACGGUCAUACUACAUAGGAGUAAGAGAGCUAGAGUACUGCGUAGGCAGUCACGGUGAGCUACAAGCAGAGCUGAAGUACAGUUGAGAUCGGAUGCCCACUUACACUAUUGCUAGCAGAUGGACCUCUCUGAUGCCUUUCCAGCUUAAAUGGUAGGAACUGUGUACACACAGUAGGUUUCCUUUCAUUUUAGUCCUGUGGUACAUAACUGGACCUGCUUUGUGUCUGCGUGCAGUUGGAUUCUGCUGCAUAUUUUCUCUGUGGAUGAUCAUGGAUGAGAAGUCUGAUAUUCUCCAUUAGACUUGACAGGGAAAAAUACUAGGGGUAUAAUUUUGAAACUGAAAAGUGCAGCACUAUAAUAAAUUGUGGCUCUCUGGUUGAACAUGAGGAUAAAAUUCAUUCCAGACCUUGUGUUUGAGUGGAAGAGUUUAUGAAUGGAACUGCAGCCCCUAGGCUGUAUUUCAGCGUUAGUCUCUAGCUUGGAUUUGUGCUAUUUCCAACGUCGACAAGGAUACGUGUUUUAAAAGCUUUCAUUCUUCCUCUGUUAAGAUUGUUCAAAUGUAAAAUCUGUUGUGCUGCAGAUGACUGUAGAGUAUAUUCCACAGAAAAAACAUUUUGGUUUUGUAAAGAAGCAGGUUAAUAACUGUUUCCUGAAAGGUAUGUAUUAAAAAUAGCUCUAUAUUUAGUUGAAGGAGAACUGGCUUGUGCUCAGAGGAGUCACAGCAGUGUUUCUGCUUCACCUCUGUUUCUCACUGUUCAUGUCUUGUUCUAUCGUGGUCAGCUGUGCCUCAGCUCUUUCACCUGCCAGACAGGUAGAGCUCUGCUAGGCAGCCUCACAGCUGUGUAUGUUGCUUCUCAUCAGAAGUUUAGAUGGAAGCCACAAGCUGUAGUAAAUAUCAGCUGGUAUUGGUUAUAUUCAGAUGGCGAAGCUGAAAUACAGCAAUAUCUUAGUUCUCCAAGAAACAAGCAAAAUAAAAUAUGCUUAGGUAGCGUGUUAUGAAAUUGGGAGUGUUGGACUGAUGUUUGAACUUUCUAGUCCCCGAGCAGACAAAUAGCAGCUGAGAAAUUCAUGCUUAAAGAGGAAGAAGUAGCCAAAACCUCCUGUCAAUUACCAUAUUGUGGUUUCUCCUACUGCCCACAAGUGUUUAUUCUCAGAUAGAUUGUGUUAUAAUAUUGACAGAGACAAAAACAGCAUGCAAAACAUCAAACAGAAAAAAAAAAGCUUAGAAAGUUUGAGGUGGGAUCUUAAAGCAUAGAAAUGCCAAACUUAUUCUUUGAAUGAAUGAACUUAUUCUCUAAAUAACAGCAUCUAUGGAGUUUGGACUCAAAGCUGAAGCAAGGUCUGGCGUUUCCAGAAGUUAGGGACUCUACAACCAUCAGGAACUGGUUCUUGGGAAGGAAUUCAUUCAAAACCAAAGCAAAAUGAUAUCUCACUACCAAAAACAAACAAACAACAAAAAAACAAAAACAAAAACCAACCAACCAAACAAAAAACCCUGAAGAAAAUGAGUGACAAGAAUCAGAAGACAAGCAAACAGCAAUUUAGACUGCAAACAAUGUUGUUGCAAGAACUAGGGAUUCUCUGAAAUGAUGGAGGGGGCUAAAUUUACUGUACUGGCAGAUCCUUUGAGUCCCUUAUUUCCUAUUGUAGAAGGAUCACUUACACCCUUCCCUUUCAACUGUUGACUGUGACAAAUUUUGUGGUUUUUCUUCAGCUUCAGUUCAAGUUCUCUUAAUAGCCUUCACUGGUAGAGAUACGUGCAGAUAGCAAUGAGGGGAAAGAUGUUGCAAGCGCUUGGUUUUUUCACUCUGAAUAUUGCUACACAAUUUAGGUAAAUCAUGAAAAUCAACAUGAUUGGAAACUCUUCUCAAGAAUGUUCUUUUGAAACAGAGGUUAGAAAUCUUGGUCAAAUUAAUUAGUUGUGGUAUUUUAAAAUUCUUUUAUUUCUCAAGCAUUAGUUGAACUAAUUAUCCAUCCGUACAUCUUGUUUUUUUUAGUUGCUUAAUGAAAGCACCAAUGUAAAUAUUUCUAUUUUAUUCUGUUCUGUUCGUAAACUAUAACUUUUGACUUAAACACCUAUUUUCCAAACAAAAUGUUUAACCAUCCAUCGUCGUCUUCUAAAACUUGUGCUUGGGAGUCUGUUUGCUUUCUGAGAAAUGAAUGGCUUUUUUUUUUUUUUUUGCUCUUUAUAGUGCUCAAAGAGAACUUUAGUUUUAUCUCCUCAGCCCUAAAAAAUCCCAAAUUCCCCAUUUUGCGCACACUCUAAGGGAUGACUCGGGACUUUGAUGAGAAGAGCAAUGUGAAGCAAUUGAGACUCAAAGCGCUGAUGACCUUUCAAAGAUACGUGUACAGAAAAUAGGAACCUGUUUUAGACUUUCAGUGUAAAAUUCUCUGGCAUGUCCUUCAGGCUGUCAACAUGAUGAGCUAACUGUCUGUCUGCAUGAGGCAGACAUGCUGAUUCUUCUACAGCCACCUCUCUAAUUCAUUCACAACGAAUCCUCAGCCAGACCCUCGUUCACCUUCCUUGCUUUCUUUAUCUUUGCAUGGAACUGUUCAUCUCUGAUGAAUGAGGCCAUGCAUUAAAAUACCACUUACAGGCUAAGACAAAGUCUCAAAUUGCUUGGUCAAUCUGAAGAGGACCUUGGAUCCCUUCAUUCACUGUUGAAGUUCAUUCUCCAGCUCCUGUUUUUUGUUAUUGCUGAUGGUGAUUCUUUGUUGUCGUUUGUUUGCAGUAUAUACUAGUAGAUAAGUAAAAGUUGAUAAACUUCUUUGGUUUAUGUGAAGUAAAGUUCCUGUCUAAACCAGAACUGCAUAAAACUCUUUACCUUGUAUUACCAUUGACCUUAAUGCUGAAGUUUUCAGACAGAUUACUGUGUUAAAUCUGCUGUUUGACCCACUGACAUCAAAGAGAUCUUGUCUAACAGCUGAAUGAGUAAUAGGGCUUGGCUGCAGCAGAGUAGCUUUGAAAGAAAAGAUUUAGCUGGCAAAUAGCUUUUAUUUCUUCCAUGAGAGGAAGAAAAGUUUUUAUUGAAAUAAAUGUGCUGUCCUUAGCAUGGGUAAAGUACCUUGUUGACAGUGCUUUGGAAGACUUUUCUAUUACAUUUGAAGAAGUUACUAAGGUGUUUCCUCAUGUGGAAUUUUGCCUCCUUGUUUUCCGUCUCUUCUCUUUGGUCGUUCAAUUGUGCAGUUUUUCAGAAAAGAUACUGUUUUAAAUUACAUGCAUUAGAAGCAACCCUCUUGUUCCUUGUAAGAAGUACGUUUCCUUCUUGAUGCCUGAAAACUUCUUUCUGUGAGGCAGGAGUGAAAUAUCUAUUGAAGUGGGAAGCUGAGUGGAUCCUCCAUCAAAGGUGCCUAUGCAUGUACAUCCUAGGCUUACUGCCUAUCUUAAAACUUCUACAUUGAAUAUAUUGUCUGGUUAAAGCAGAUAAUUAACUGAUUAAGCAGAUAUAUUCACUUUAUAUCAGCUGUACUGAGUGUGAUUCAUCUUUUGAAAAGCACCUAAAUGAUUCAUGCGGUUGUGAAACUAUUGACUUUCAAUGAUACCUGAGCUCUGGAGUACACAGACUCUUGCAGGGCAUAGAGGAUAAUACUUCUUCUGUUGUGUUUCUGAGAAUUGUACGAAGAUAGUGUUUGGGAGUUGCCUGGAUGAGCAGAGUUUGGAAGUCAGUUUUGUUUUGAUAGGAGAAUGAACAGAUGCCAUACACCAAAGCAAAGGAGUGGGGAAGAGAUCAAAGCAGGAGUGGGGAAAGGCUGGAACAAGUAGGAGCAUGGCUCUACUUCACCUAAAGGCAGUUACGUGCCUCUAUGCGUUCCCUUGAUGCAGAGCUGCUGUACUUCUGGGAUGUUCAACUGCCCUUAGUGUGGUUCCUGACAAUAAAGUCCAUUCGGUGCCUUGCAAAACUGACUUUGAACAGUCUUUUGUGCACCCACACAGAGACUGUGCUGUGUAUAUCAGCAAGUCAAUGUCUUCAAAGGGCUGUUUUUCUCUCUUUUCUAUUGGGGAGCAUCUUUGCAUUGGUACACACCUCUUACAUAGCAUUGAAAACAAGUGCUUUUUCUAGCACUUGCACAGCAUUUAGGUACAUCAAACGCAGAAAAAGCUCUCUUAUCUAAAAAUUAUGUGUACAGAAAGGGUGAGAUGACUAAUUUUAGCAUACUAAAAUAAAAAACUGAAUACAUUAUUGAGCAUAAUUCUUCUCACUUGUAGGCUGAAGUACUGUCAUGCAGAAGUGUAGCCACAGUUAAGAUCCGAAAGAACUCUUUGUCAAUGGGUCUGUUAAGUUUUCGGCUGCAUUAUUCAUAAGUUUCAUUCCUCCUUCCAGCUGUUUCCACAAAUUCGAAGACUUCAUUUCAGUUUAUAGAUGCUAUUUCUCCACUGUUCAUGCCCACAGCUAUUUUUCCAUGCCCAAAUAUCCCUCCCGCAUGCACCCCUCCCCAAAGAAAAGAAAUGCAGACCCCAUAAAAGAAGCCAUGUAGAGUGAUCCUUUGAUAAUAAAGUCCAAAAUGGCACAAUGUUGGAGCUGCCAUCUGCAAAACUUCAAGAGAUGGUAUUUUUCUGCUGUGUAUCUGUGGCUGGGUGAGGAUAUUGGGCACAGAGCAGAAUGUGGGGUGUGGUUACAUUACCAAAGGGUUCUCAUUUAUGUGUUGCGGCUUCAGUUUUCUCAUUAAAACUGUAAGGGCCAAAGCUUGCUUCUGAAAGAACUGGAGGGAGGAGUUGCUUGAUGUUCUGGUAGUACAGCUACAAUUGGAGGAGAAUCUGUCGCUCAGAGCAACUCCAACUGUACUGGCUUUUUCAUAGGAAGACUGGUCAAAUGGUUAAGAAAAUACAGAUGUCUGGAUAAUGCCUUGAAACUGUGCCAUAAAAUUAAGCUACAGUUUGAAAAAAUACAAAGCUCUCCAACUUGAAGCCAUCUUCACACGUGUGUUUUCUUUAGAGCCCCACCUGAAUGUGGAGAUGUGAAGAUUCACCUAAACUGGAUUUAAUGUUCUUCAUAUCUCUAAAUUUUCCAAGAUCAGAAAAAGCAUCCGUAGCAAAGUUGUUGCCUCCUAAAACGCGGGAUAGAGAAAACCUCUCGAAUAUGAACAUCCAACUGUGAAUUCUUCCUUCAGGUUAAAUGGGAAAAGAAUUGUCUGGGUAGGAGUUCAGAUUGUUGCAGAUAACGAACACCAGAAAAUAGAUGCAAUUAUGCUACGGAGAAACCACUGGAAUGUGUGAUCUAUAAGAACUUGUGAGUCUUGAGGCUUUUAUGCCUCCCAUUCAUCUCAAGGCAAAUUAUCAGCUAAAAUACUGGAGCCUCAAAUUGUCAUAUGAGUAGAUAGUCACAAGUUUUGUUGGUUUUUUUUUAAGUGUAUUUGUAGUCUUAUAAAUUAUUACCUUUUCUUGUUACAAAAUAUAUUUUUUUAUUUUUUAUUUUUAUAUAUAUAAAUAUUUAUUAUAUUUUUUAUUCUGGAAGGAUGAAAUCUGCUGUUAGCCUGCUGCGUGCUGGGCACAGUUAGGGUUCUAUCUGCUCCUGUAACACAUCACAGUCCUAGCAUCACUAAAAACUUCACAGGUUUUUAUCUACCUUCUGGUGGAUGAGCACUGAGUUUUGAAUGAAUCCUGGCCAAGUCUGUGGUAUUGACUGGAAGCCACGUGGAAUUUGGUAAUACAGACAUCAUGCCAGACAAAACUCGUUCAUUUCUGUUUUGAAUGUUUAGAUUUUUUUUAUUAAUCAAACCCAGGGAAAAAUAUAUUCACAUGAAGUUUUAACUGAAGAGUUUUUGCAUAAUGGACUUUAUGAGCCUCAAAGGCCUCAUUUGCUUUAUGACUUUUUUUUUUUAAUAGCAGGCAUUAUUGAUGCUUGCUUAUGCUUUAUUCUAGAUAACUUACUUACUGGAAGGCAGGUUUUGUUUGUGAAGGUUAUUAAAUUAUGUACUACAGUAUUGUGCAUAUAUAGUUGUACAAAACCGAACAAACCUUUGUAUCUGUAACUUUUCCACACACAGUGGCACGGUCUGAGUUCUCUACUGGUCUUAGAUGUAUAUACAAGUGAAAUGAAGGAGGAGCAGUGAAGGAAUAGGAGACAGGAGGGGAAGUCUGGGAGAUGAUUUCAUUUCUGAUACAAACACUACGAACAUGAACGCUAGCAGAUGAGUUACCUACAGUGACUAAACUACAGUUUAGGUGAAAACUACAUGAACAUAAACACUAUGAAAAAGAUAGUUCGGGUUCUCUAGGUUGACUAUGUAACUAUUCAUAACAAAGAUCUGGGCAUUUUUGUUUGUUGAUGAGAUGUGUUGGGAUUAGACUGUAAUUCUUAGAGUCAGCUUGAUGUAGAGUACUUUUCUAGGGCAACAACACUUUCAAAGAUGCAAGAAAAUUAUUCCUGUUUAGUGAGCAGAUUUGAAUUAGAUAUCUACGCUACUCAGCUUAAAUCCAUAAGAAAGAAGAAAUGGAAUGCAAAUGGCAGCCUCAGUGUCAGGCGUGUAUGAAGCUACCAGCUGAAUGCUUGUUCCAGUGUGUACUCCCAUGAGAUGGGGAAAGUUUGAGUCAAACUUUGCUAUGGAUUUAUUCCCUUUUGGAAUGAUAGAUUUCUUGUGUUCAGAUAAUUGUUUUUACACCAUGAAGACCAUAGAAAGAUAUAUUUCCAUAUGGAUGCUAUGCCAAAUUUACCCCGUGGCAUGUGGAAUGCUCUCUGUUUGGUGAGAAGCCAAAACAUUCUCUGUAAGGGAAAAGAGGACGAAACUGUAUCUGAUCUGAGUGCUGAUCUGGGUCCCUCAGGCUUAUCCUGCGGCUGUUUCUGUGUCAAUAGAGGCAACAUUGGAUAUGCCUUUUCAAUGAGAUCACUGCAAAAUGAAAUUGCUACUAAAUUAUAUUUUACUCAGUUUUGAGUUGAGUAAGAAGUAUGAAAACUGGUGCUAAAACUUUGUAUAGAAACACUGGUGCUGGACUGAUGCUCCAGAUGCUGACUGGAUAGAAUUAAUCAUUUCACGCAGAUAUUUCAAGUUCAUGUUAAAUGUUUUAAUAUUGUUGAACAGGAGUGAUUGCACAUUACAGCACUGCAGCUGAUUUGAAAACAAGAAAGGGGACCCCGCUCCUUAACGCACCGGCUACUUGUUCUUCCCAAACACGUUCAGCUGAGUGGAAUGGAGAAGGGUCGUGCUUAAUAUGUUUCUGAAGCUGUGUGCUCCCUCAUGCUGACUGGCAGGAGAGCUGUCUUCCUUUCCUAUUGCAAGCAGAGAAGUGUGAUUUGAGAAGUCAGUCACCAAAGGAAGAUGUAGCGUGGGAGCAGCCUGUAAGAGGCUGUGUGAAGGGGUUUAGGAUGCAGGGACCAUGGGCAGCAGUGCCUCUUGAACCACAGAUGUGGGCUUUUGAUCUUCUCCAGCAACAGGAUGAAAUGGUUAAGUCUUGUAGCAGUGCUUUGCAUCAAGUCGGUUCCUGCUCUGAGGACUGUGAAGAAAGACUUUUCCCUUAGCAGAAUUCACCAUUACAGUGGUCUAUUCAAGCCUGCAUCUGGGAAGAUAGUUAGUGCCUUCAUUUAUGGAAUUCCUGUCAUGGAAUUGUAAGUACUUUAGAACAGCAACUGGUCUCUUGGGAGGUCUCUAACAUGUCAUGUACACAGCAGAACGUAAAUAAUUUCAAUAAAAGGAAAGAGAAACUCUUUCAAAUCACCAAUUACUGUCUUGCAGCCUGGACAGGCUUAAAGGAUGUUGGAGAUGGUUCAUGGUUGGCUUGUGGAUUUCUUUUGGCUUUGAAAAAUCUAAAAUCUCUAAAAUCCCUUCCCUCUUCUCUGCCGUUCUGAAUGCAGUGUACAUGAGAGCUGAGCUGGUGUGCCUGCAUCUGCUGCGCAGUGUCCCUGCUCUGCUGGGAGCACUUGUUGCUGCAGGACACUGAUGGAACUCUAUGUUGGCAGAAGCCACAGGCUGCAGCAGUUAGGCGCUGCAAUCAGCUCAGUAUGUCGGGUGGGUGUUUUGCUGCCUCCUACUACAGGGAAUGUUAAAACAGGUUUAAAUGCUUCCAGUUGUUUCAAUGUCUAGCAGUUGAAGGCCUGGUGAAUGGAGAUUUAUAACACUUCUGGUAUCUUGUUCAAGUUUCCUUUUUGUGCAGAUGAUAAAGGUCUGUGCUGUGGGAGCUGGCUUUUGUCUAGGGAAAAGUGCCUCCUCUUCUGCUGGCUGCUUACACCUGUGAUAGAUGGGAAGAUGCUCUCUGCAGCUUCACCAAAUAGCUUGUAGAUUCUAAAGAAAACCCAUUUACACGGUAGCUGUGACACCACUGAAUAUAACUGGAGACCGUGGCACAAUUUCCUUUGCAAUAGAUUAAGUUCUUUAUCCCUUUAGCUUAUAAAAAUAUCCCUCCUAGCAAGAAAGAGCUCCUUCUCUAUUGGAUCUUACUGGUGUUUUUUACAUUUGUGCAGGGCAACCCUUGAAAUUCCUUAUAUUUCUUCUAAUGGCUUUUCAGUGUUGAUUCACACUUUCCUUUUUUGUUUUAGUGUGGAAGAGUGAAAUUCCAGCAAGGCUGACUUAGUGAAAACUGAAUUAGUGUUGAUGGCUGGAGAGGAACGUAACUCGAUCUUCUUUCUGCAGCUCUCGAAUCAGGAACUGAAAUAAUUGUUCUAAGACAAGUAGAGAUGCCAGAAAACGGAGCGAUGCUUCUGCCAGAUAGUCACCGCAGAAGUGCCAGACAUUCCUUCCCUCUUUAGAGCUUAGGAGUGUGUGUGUUUGAGAAGGAAAGUACACACAGGCAGCAGGGGACCGCAGUGCUUUUCUCUCUGUGAUGCUGAGCACGCAGUGCAGUACCACUGGCAGAGUCCUUAGGGAUGUGUGUGACUGCUGGCAGGGGGUACAGACACAAGGCUCAACUCCAGGAGGGGUUUUUUUGCUCCAUUUCUUUUCACUGUUGAACAGUGGCAUUAGUCACUCUAUCACAGGAUUUAGCAGAGGAUAUGAGGUAAAGUCCCCAGAAUCAGGACUGAAGGGCCCAUCACACAGCACGAGAAGCUAGCUCAGUCCCUGAAGGGUUCGUGGCUCACUGGAGGAGAUGGUGCUGGCUGCCAACCGCUAAGCCCAGCUGCACUGGUUAGUGAUUUGUGCUUUUAAUUGAAACCAUUGUGCACUACUAUAGCCCUGCCUUGUGGGAGCUGCUGGUGCAAUAAAUCUUGAAUUUUUCCAUAUUAGAAGGACGUGUUCUUUGGGGAUUUUAAAGUCUCGUGAUUGUGUUUUUUUUUUUUCCUUCCCCUUUUCUGUUGCUAUAGCUACUAUAAUUUUUGUUAACAAAAGGGAUGAGAAGUAGUUUGCUGCGCAUAGUUUACAUUAUUGUGAUUCUGAUAUGACUGCCAGUAUUCUCUCUCUCUCUCUCUCUCUCUGUCCCUUCCUCUUUCCUGUCUCCCCCCUGCCUGAGUCAGUUCUCUAAACAAACUGCAGGACUCUGGAAGCUGCUGGCCUCCUUCAGUCACCAGAGGGUUGUAUGUGCGUGGGGAUUAGGCUUCUGCCCAUGAACUGGAGGCUCAAAAAGUGAGUUUGAGCUUGUGUUUGCAUCUCAGUAUGGCUUUGUAUAUUUCAUGAGCUGUUACCAGCAUUUGGUAACUCCCCACACGAAUGGGAUUGCGCCCUCUUUGAGGGACGUUGGGAGCUCCUGGCUCUUUCAGUGAGGUCUCACAUCAGGUUACCACGGUGUUCAGCAGAAUAUGGCAGAUCCAUUUUUCUCGAGGUAUAUUUGGGAAAAUAGAGACUUCAUUCUGUGAGGAAAAUACUAGUGAUGAGAUGAAAGAACAUCUCAGUGAGGAAAGAUGAGGUUCUUUCUCUGACAUUUGUUUGAUCCUCAUCUCUCCUCCCAUUUCUUUACAGUCUUUACAGUCGUCUUCCUUUAUUUCAGUGGCACAGCUAGGAGGAAGGUGGAGGUUCACUCUUUUUGCUGGCAUCAUACUCCUCUCCCAUUUUUCCUUUCUAUCUCCUCAAUCUUCUGAAAUGAGAGCUGGAGCUCUGUCUGCCUGCUCACACCCUGCUGUGGUUCAUCAUCAUGGGAGCACAGGGUUUUUGGGUUUGUUUGGUUUGGCUUAAAAAAUCUGUAGAGGUUGAAAGAGGGAGUCAUUAGCCAAUGAGCUCAUAAACAUGAAGGGAAUCUGAGUCAGAAAACCCCUGUGGACAAAACAGGUGCUCAUUGCCCUGAGGCAUGUCAGCCUCGGAACGUAGGUGCAGCAGACAGAAGGGGGUGGCUGUCAGUGACCACAGAACCUGGGGAAGAACGGCUUGUCUUUGCUACUCAUGUGUUUAUGGUGAGACUGAGACUUGCAUGUCUGGGCCCCAUCAUCUUUCUGAGAAGCUUGAACUUAAAAUCUUUGCAUCUAUCCACAGAUUCCCUGUGUAACAGCCUAGUGCAAAAGAGGCAGACCCAAGGUUGUCCUCCUUCCUUUGUACAAGCCAGAACAAUUUUGUCAAAUAUUUUCUACUUUCAUCCAUGCAAUCUCCAGCCAGUUCCUCAUCCUCCCGGGAUGCUCUUAUUAUCAACAUGUUGAGACAGUCCAUCCCAAUGAGUAGUUACUUCACUUCAAGUGUUAUCACUGGCAGCUUAAGUGUCAUGGACAGGACCUUCUUGGGGAUACUGACUUAGAGCAGUAAACAAUUAGUAAGACAUACUGAUCUAAACAGAAGAGGCGCAUGGUAAUGCCACGUAUCAGUUCAUGACCUCAUUGAGGCACUAUUAGCCAGGACCUUCUUCCACUUCACACUUAAAAUGGUGCCUUAAGAUAAUGUCAGAUUGCUUUCUGCUUAUGUCAGUGAGUUUGGUACUUUUUCACUACAUGGUAUUAGAGAGAAAUCAAAGGGCUUUGAGCAGGACAGCAUCAGUAGCUGUUAUCACUUCUAUUAAAGACCUCUGUUCUUCAGUCCUGGCACUUGUAAAGCAUCCAUUCCACAUCCCUCUCCAGAUGCUUCUUGCCACCUUCCUCUGAACUAGUUCUCCUGGUGGCAUCUGCAUUGGCCAGGAGAGUUAAUUAUCUUCAGAUUGUCUUUUGCUGGAUGCUGCUUACAGCCUUCCCUGGGAGCAAACCCCUGGUUAGAUCUCUAUAAAAAUGUGGUCAGGUUUUCUUCUGUGCCUGUUAGCAACCUUGCCUGUUCUCUUCUGCUUAGCAAUGGGAGAGCAUAGUUAACACACACUGGAUGUUGAUCCAGGCCUUUUGCUUUACUGCUCUGGCUUAACAAUGAAAUUGCUUUGUUCCUCUAUGUACAGCGUGGGCUGACUUAUCGUAGGUCACCGCAUCUCUUUGCAAAGCUUGCCUGAACCUGAAUAUUCAGUGUGGUGAGCAACCUCACCUACCUUGCUGAAUGUCAGGGUAACAUAUUCAUCAGUCCUUGUUUUAUUUUUAUCUUGUUUGUGUUUCCACUUCUUUUCCCCCCCACAUUAGCAUUUUUAUCUUUCAUUUUUCCUCUUUUUCAGACUGUUACCUUUUACUUCUGCAUGCUCUGUCAAGCGAGGAGGGACAGGAUGAGGUACAAAUCUGUCUGUCCCUUUUCCCACCCUGCCAUCACUGACAGGUGAAGGAAGCAUUGCUGUUGACAUGGUAGAGAUAAUGCUUGUCUGUGUAGGCACCGUAAGGAAAGCAUUUCUGUAUCCAUCCUGGCCUUUGGUAGGUGCCUUCCCACCUCUCUGCUCUCAGGAAGGGCUCUGCAAAAGGAGUCUGAAGCAAGCAGGCUAAAAGAAGUCCAGCGGCCUUCUGAAAGUGGAUGAGCUUUUGGAAGAGUCAUCUGGUGAGUGCCACGGAUCUCAGUGCUCAAGCUGGCCAGUUAAACUCCUUUGAUUUCAGUGCUUUCCUCGUGGCAGUUUCCCCCUUUGUCACAAGAAGCCUGUUGCAAAAUGAAAGAUCAUUUCAAGUGUUUUCAAACUUUGUUUUCAAACUCUAAGUGUAAACUUUGCUGCUGUCUCACAGGGUAUGGGAGAGGAAGCUCAAGGGUCCCUCUGCACAGACCUGAUAUUCAUUUGUAGCUCACCUCCUGCUCCAGUAUAAUCCACUGCUUAUAUACUUACUCCUAAGCAUGCCCUUGUACAAGGUGGUUUGGGAAGGGUGUUACCUACCUAAACAUACUAAGAGCAUCUGCAUGGAGAGUUACUGUGGAGUAAUCAGUAUACUAUAUAUUAUCCACUGUGUACAGACAAGUUCUGAUUUGUUUCUGCUUUAUAGAGUAGGAAUUGGAAAACGAAAAUGAAGGAUAUUUUUCUACACUGAAAAGUUGAUUCUGGUUUAAGGUACUUAAUAGUUCAGUAUAUGAGGUCUUGCUGGAGCCACUCUCCGUGUAUACUUCAGGCAUUCCUGGGUAGCACAGCCCUCUUUUAGAGAAGGUGUCCAUACACAGAUGCUGUCAGGAAACAGCCGGACUGGCAUAACUCAGGCAGUUUACCCAGCGUCUCGUGGGAAAUCUAUGGCAAAGUGAAGACUGAGUCCUUUCAAGUUUCUAUGUGACUGCAUCAAGAUACUCUUCCUCCCAUCAUAUACUUUAGUAAAACUUUGUGCAAGUGAUAUAACUGCUAUUACUUCUGCAGUUUGCACUUCAGUGGUGCUCAGAGUGGGAGCCACGUGCAUCUGGCAGAAGGAAGGGAGGUGUGCUGACAGCACUGGAGACAGCAGCUUGCUCUGUUUUAUAGCUGUGGCCCAUGUUUACCUGGCAUAAUGGUCUAAUGAAUCAAAACCUUGGAGCAGUUGCAAAGUUGGGAUGCUUCUGUUGUCCAGCAGAUUUUAUUGGUCAGCCUUGGGUAAGGAGAGCUCAACAGUGAAAUGAUAUUCAAAUCUCUUCGUCUUCUUUCCUUCACUGGCAGUCUGUGCUGAACAGCUUUGAAUUAUAUUGUGGUGUUUUUAGGAGCUGGAUACGCUCUGUGGAAAUACUGAAUAACAGCCUAUUCUGAAAGAAUAUUUCUUGUAAACUACUUCUCUCCAUUGCUUUCAUGUGUUCUUUAUCAUGCAAAUGAAAAAGAACCUUUAUGCCUUAAAGCUAAUUUACUCUCGCUCCUGAGCAAAAUUAUAAUGAUUUUUUUUUUGUGUGUGUCACAAGAACAAUUUGCUAUUGUGCAAAUAACUUUUAUUUUUCAAUUAGAGGAUUAUGAUUUCAUUGAGGAAUAAGCAACAGGAGCAGGUGAGCUUGUGAGACUCGAAUGGGUAUUUUCAUGUAAAUAACUCGAAGACGAAGAGGGGAGGUCAGAGGGAGAAUAAUAAUGAGGAAUGUAUGUCAGACACUAUUUAUAAGUAGGUUAUUUUCAUACAGACGUCUGGCCAUUGCUGAAGGGUUAGUGUUGUGAAAACCAAAGUAUACGUGCCUAGGAUUAUUUUGUACUAAACCUUUUUCUUCUACAAAAUGUGAUGACUGAGGGCUUUCAACAAAGAGGUGUUCAUAAAGUCUGCUAUAGGACUUGCUGAAAGGAGUUACCUGACUAUGAUCGAUGCUCAAGUAGAGCAGAAGAAAACGGUCACUUUUCUCUACAAAAGCCCGAUUCAGAACUGAGCUAUGAAUAUAUUUUGCUUGCUGAAGGUAGGUGAGAGUAAUGUGGAUGCUUUGUAUCUAAAACCAGAUUGUGUUUAAAAUCUGUAUAGAGUUUUGCUACGUUAUAUGCAUAAACUUCUGUUACGUUCAUGUCUGAGAAAAAAAUUCUUCAAUGAAUGGUUUUUAUCCUUUUUGUAUCUCCUCUUUUUCAAAAAAUUAAAAGCAAGGAUAUCUAGCACAUUUGCAAGGCCUAAAUUUGAUUUUCCUCCUAUGAACUCUGGGGAUGGGUUUAUAAUGUUUAUAGUUCUGUUCAUGAAGAGAUUUCUGCCUUAAAGAGAAACUUGGAAAUGUUGUUCUCAGUAUCUGUAUCAGUAUCUGUAAGUGCAUAGGGACAUAGUAAAUACCUCUGGCAUUAGCUCAAGAGCAAUUUGUUUUUGCUUCAUCUUCUCAACUCCAAUGUAUUUCUUUGUUAGAUGACAAUACAAACUAUCCUUGUCUUUCUAUUGGUGUUUAAAGUAGCACAUGUUUUGAAGGAAUUUUAAAGAACUUGGAUGAGUGGCUGAAAAUCAGCUUUAACAGAAGACAAAAAGCAUGACUGGUUUUCAGAUGAGUCAAUUCUUUGAACCAGACAGCUGUAUGAGUGUGAGGGACUGAGAAUGUAUGGCAUCAGAGAAUAGGGCUGCAGCAUUUCAGAUUGAAAUCAGUUUAAAGGUUAGUGAGAAGGUGUUUCAUGGCUGGCUAACGCUGUGCGAGUUCGCACUGCUGCCUCAAUUGCUCUGUCUUCUUACUGGAUCCACAAGGCCAUGGCACAUGCCUGUCAUCAGCCCUUCUGCCAUUGCUGCUGUGGACUUAAGUUUCCUCCGAGCUUAUAAGAGUGCCAGCUAACUGUGCUGUAAGUGUUGAAUUCUUUCUACCUGAUAUUUCAAAUUAAGCUUGAACCAGUCAAUGUGCUUUUUAAAAUACAGGGCUUCUCUUUUGUAUUCAGUGAGAGCACUUUUAAGUACUCCUUUAGCACAAACAAGUUGGUAGAGGUCACAAUGAAUUUACUUCCCUGCUGGUAUGGCAGUAGUUUUAAUUUAUCUAAAUUGGAAGGAAAUCUUGUAUGGGCUACAAUCUAAGUAGAAAGCAGCCAUUGCAGACUGCAAUAGAUGUGUCACAAAUCAAUACAUCUUUCACUUGUGCAGAAGGGAAGACAGAUUCAGUCUAGAAGCUGGAUUCAGUCCAGCUUCUUCAACUAAAAUCUAAUUCUAGUGAUGUCUGAGAGCAGAGCACAAACUAAACUCUAUUGGUUCUUUUUAAUACUGAAGCAAGUAAGAUGAAACAAGCACUCUAAGUACCAGAGAGUUCUUGUAAAUCUGUUCAGAAGUUCUUCAAAUAGAAUGUGUCCUCCAUAGCCUGAGAAAGAUGGUCACCCUAGUGUUAGUGAAAAUUCCACCCUAAAAGGCUGGUGAACUUGCAUUAUGCACUGGACUCUAUUUUCUUGUCUUCAUUCCAUUUUGAAGCUGUGUUUGCCCCAGCAGUGUUGAUGGAAUGAGGACAGAUUAGCACUUAACUCUUAAUUUGAACACAAGUUUUGGACUGCAAUGUGUGCAUCUACAGCUAAGUUGCAUUAAGACCCAUCGUUGGUUGUAUCAGUAAAUUUCUGUCAGAAGUGUGGUUGUCACCUAGCUCUGAAAGCCUAGCAGAGAGCUGUCAACUUGAUUGGAAACAGGCUUUCACUGGAUUAUGAGCAGAGAAGCUUUGGAUGAGAUUAUGGAGUUAAUACUGGCUCAAAUACGUGCCUUUCGCAGUGUCAAAAAGGUGGGAAAUCUGACAAACUCUUUUCCUUUGUGUCUGUUAUUUACAGGCAUUAUUCUCAGCCAGGGACUGGGAUGUUGUUUCUCUCCCAUAGUGAUUAUGCUAGAACACAGUACAGCUCAGGCUUGUAUGCUUUGCUGGGAACACAAGGGCUGUUUCUGAACUCUUUAGGACCAGCCAUGAGGACAGUUUAUUCUUUUGUCUUGCAAGGAACCUGCUGGUGUGCUUAUAGUUAGGCUGUCUGUGUGCUGUAAAAUGAAAACUUGGGAUGAGACAGAUGAAUUAAUUCUGAAUCUCUUCACACCUUGUUGAGCUGCUAAUUUAGCUCUUUGUUAAGUUGUACGGUACCGCAUUGUUAAACUUACUGUGGCCCAGCUCAGAGAACAGGUAUACCUGAUGCAAGCAUGUAAUCCUUGUACCAGCAUUCUUUGGAGUCUCUGUAGAAGCCUUCUAAAGGCAGAAAUCCUUUAAGAUUUAAUUGGACUUUCCACUUCAUCAGAGCUGACGUGUUGUUCUGGGAGGACAUAGUUGUGUGUUUUACUGGAAAUGAAUAGGCAAACUGCCACAGAGCUAAGCUGCAUCUCUUUAAGCAGAAGUUCAGCUGUAGAACACCUCUUGAAAUGUGGGCAAGAUUUCCUAAAAUGCUCACGUUAUCUAUUUUAACUGACUUCUUAUGCCUACAGAUGUUCUGCUGUAGCUGCAGCUAAAAGUAGGCUGUAUAAGUAGGCCAAAUCAGUCGCCAUUAAGAUGUAUUUCUGAGAUUCUGUCUUUAUUUCAAGGCAUGUUUUUGAAAAUAUGACUUGGUCUUGCAGUGACAAGCCUGCAGUGCUCCCCGUGAUGUGCUCCUGUCAGGUCUCUGCCCUGUGGGGUAGGCCAAAAUCCAUAUUACCCCAUAUUCUCCUGAUAAGUGGAAUUUCAAGAAGAAAAGCACUCUGUUUUAAUAAGCUGCAGAGCAUAUGCAGAUCUCAAGAACCCAAACCGUACUGAUAGCAUUAUCUUGUUUGCAGUACAGAUUGGUUUGGUCUAGGACAGUUAAAUAUAAGAUAAUCUUUGUAGCAGGUAGGGCAACAAAUAUUUUACAUACAGGGAACCGUCACUUACAGACCUUGCUUAGAAGUAACAGCAGAAGGUCAAAGCACACUUGAUGCCCUUGGAGGACACACACAUUUUCUUUGUAGAAUUUGCAACCGUGUUAAUUACAGUGCAAGGAGAGCCUUCUUGGGAGCCUUCUCUCAAAGGCUCCCUUCUCAAGUCAUUAAGAACUCUGCAUACUCUGUGACAUCUUUGCCACUUCUCAAACCUCUUCUGCUCUAUGCUGCAGCUUUGAUCACAGCACAUGCCUGGCUGAGGGGACUGUGUCUGCAUACAUGUUGUCUGCUCCUUGGAUGACUUCAGUGCUGGUCAGUAAGCGGCCAAAUCUGGAUUCUUCUUCAUUAAGCUGUCACAUAAACAGUGCUAGUGUUCCCACCACUCCCAAACCUGACUUUGAAGGGUUGCAGCAUACUCUAAGGACUAUUCUAUUGGAACUGUAUAUUUAAUGGAAAAUAUACGCUAGAAAUGAGUGCAAUAAGUAGAGUGCAAUGAAUCUGCUCUAAGUAGGGAAUAGAAUCAUAUGGAUAGGAAGAGCUAUUGAGCAGAGUAUUAAAAAACAAAGCCACCAAGCAAACAAACAAAAGCCUGCGUGUUUGUUGAGCUGCAGAAGUUUCACACAAAAAGUGCUCUUCUGCUCCCAUUUUACUAACAGAAUGGAAGACAGAGGAUAUGCGUUCCUGAAUCGAAUUAUUCCAAGACAUCUAUUUAUCUAAGACGUGUAAGACAUCUGAACCUAAGUGUAAGUAACCAUGCUCAGUGGGAUUCACCUUACACAGGAGAGGAAGAGAACAGUUCUUACAGCGCAGGAACAGAUGGCUAGAUUGUGUGUAGGAAAACGGAAGAGUUCCUUGAGACCUCAUGGUAAAAAUAAAUAAAUAAAUUCUACCACCUAGCUCAUUAGAUCAGAAUUAUAGAAUGACUUGUGUUGGAAAGGACCUUAAAGGUCAUCUAGUUCCAGCCUCUCUGCUACAGGCAGGGACACCUCCCUCUGGACCAGGUUGCUCACAGCCCCAUCCAGCCUGGCCUGGAAUGAUUCCAGGGAGGGGGCAUCCACAACCUCACUGGGCAACCUGUGCCAGUGUCUCACCACCCUCACAGUAAACAAUUUCUUCCUGAUAUCUAGUCUAAAUCCACCCUCUUCCUUUUACCACUAGGGGCUGAAAUACGAGUUAUGGCUAACUGAGGGUUUUACAGGCAUUCCUUGUAUUUACAAAUAAAAUACUUGACUUUUUAGGCCAGUGCAGUUAGCUGGUACACCAGGCAGCGCAGAAGCCGUGUGACAUGACUAUUUUUGGAUUUGUUUUUUAACAGUAUGUCAUAAUUCUUGGGAGUGUUUUUUCAUUGCUUCAUGAAGAGUAAAAUAUAAGUAUUAUGGUGGUGAAUGCUCUC
rnacentral:lncRNA from 1 species